rnacentral:rRNA from 1 species
GUGGGGGAUAUUGCGCAAUGGGGGGAACCCUGACGCAGCAACGCCGCGUGAAGGAAGAAGGCCUUCGGGUUGUAAACUUUUGUCGCAAGGGAAGAAGACAGUGACGGUACCUUGUGAGGAAGCCACGGCUAACUACGUGCCAGCAGCCGCGGUAAUACGUAGGUGGCGAGCGUUGUCCGGAUUUACUGGGUGUAAAGGGCGCGUAGGCGGAUCAGCAAGUCAGUCGUGAAAUACCGGGGCUCAACCCCGGGGCUGCGAUUGAAACUGUUGACCUUGAGUGCCGGAGAGGAAAGCGGAAUUCCUAGUGUAGCGGUGAAAUGCGUAGAUAUUAGGAGGAACACCAGUGGCGAAGGCGGCUUUCUGGACGGUAACUGACGCUGAGGCGCGAAAGUGUGGGGAGCAAACAGGAUUAGAAACCCGAGUAGUCC